CUGCCGGCGACCGGCGCACGGGUGAGUAACACGUAUGGAACCUGCCCGCGGCAGGGGGAUAAGCGGAAGAAAUUCCGUCUAAUACCGCGUAACAACGUUGGGAGGCAUCUCCCGAUGUUUAAAGAUUUAUCGGCUGCGGAUGGCCAUGCGGCGCAUUAGCUAGUCGGCGGGGUAACGGCCCACCGAGGCGACGAUGCGUAGGGGUUCUGAGAGGAAGGUCCCCCACACUGGUACUGAGACACGGACCAGACUCCUACGGAAGGCAGCAG
rnacentral:rRNA from 1 species